rnacentral:rRNA from 1 species
UGCCGCGUGAAGAAGACACCCCUAUGGGCGUAAACUCCUUUCUGAAGGAGGAAACCCCUGUAGGUUCAGGGCGCGACGGUAGUUCAGGAAUAAGCACCGGCUAACUCCGUGCCAGCAGCCGCGGUAAUACGGAGGGUGCAAGCGUUGUCCGGAAUCACUGGGUGUAAAGGGUGUGCAGGCGGGGCAAACAAGUCGGAUGUGAAACCCCAUGGCUCAACCAUGGAGGUGCAUUCGAAACUGUUGCUCUUGAGUCCCGGAGAGGCUGUCGGAAUUCGUGGUGUAGCGGUGAAAUGCGUAGAUAUCACGAGGAACACCAGAGGCGAAAGCGGGCAGCUGGACGGGUACUGACGCUCAGGCACGAAAGCGUGGGGAGCAAACAGGAUUAGAUACCCUGGUAGUCCACGCCGUAAACGAUGAACGCUCGCCGUG